UACGGGGGGGGCAAGCGUUGUUCGGAAUUACUGGGCGUAAAGGGCUCGUAGGCGGCCAACUAAGUCAGACGUGAAAUCCCUCGGCUUAACCGGGGAACUGCAUCUGAUACUGGAUGGCUUGAGAUUGGGAGAGGGAUGCGGAAUUCCAGGUGUAGCGGUGAAAUGCGUAGAUAUCUGGAGGAACACCAGUGGCGAAAGCGGCUUCCUGGUCCAGCACCGACGUUCAGGCACGAAAGCGUGGGGAGCAAACAGG
rnacentral:rRNA from 1 species